AGUCGGAAUCGCUAGUAAUCGCGGAUCAGCAUGCCGCGGUGAAUACGUUCCCGGGCCUUGUACACACCGCCCGUCACACCAUGAGAGUCGGGAACACCCGAAGCCCGUAGCCUAACCGCAAGGGGGGCGCGGUCGAAGGUGGGUUCGAUAAUUGGGGUGAAGUCGUAACAAGGUACC
rnacentral:rRNA from 1 species